UUACAAUCAUCCAGUUCUUUAUUGCAAAGUAAAACAAAAUGUAAUUUGCCCUCAGCGGACUGUCAGUGAUUUAAAAGAUUGCUAACAGCUAGUGCCAGCAAACAUACAAAUACAAAUAUACAAAUACAUGGGGAAAAUAUACAAAUUUUGUGGAAAGUAAUUUGGUUGGCAAUAUCUAUUGAAAUUUGAAAUGUGCAGACCUUGCAAGGCUAUUCAUUGGAAAAAUGAAUAGCCAAAAAGGGGGAAAUUCAAAAUUAAAAUUUUGAUUAAAAAUUAAAAAUUGGGGGAAAAAAUCAAAAUUAAAAUAAAAAGUCAUAGGGGAAUGGUUCAAUAGUAAAAUAUAUAGCUGUUAAAGAGCUAAAAAGUCCUGCAUGAAAUGACCUAGAAAAUGUCCAGGCUAUAUUUUUAGGAAUUAAAACUGAGUCUAGGGUGGAGGGAUGGAUUGGGAGGUUAGGACUGGCACAUACACAUGACUAUAUACGAAAUGGAUCAGUAAGAAGGACCUACUAUGUAGUCUGGGGAAAUCUAUUCAAUACUCUGUGAUAGUUUAUAUGGGGAAAGAAUCCAAAAAAGAAUGGGUAUACCUGUAUAUGUAUGGCUGAUUCACUUUGCUGUAUACCUGAAACCCUCAACAUUGUGUCACCUAUAUGCCAAUAAAAUUUAUUAAAAAAAAAACUGAUUCUAGAUAAAUAUGUUUAAUAACAUUCUAAUUUAGGGUAUCAAAUGUAUAUAGGUAUAUAAAGUAUAAACCUAGGAAAAGGAAUGAUAUCCACUAACUAGCCAGCCAGUAGUUUUUAAGCCUGGGCAGAGAAAAAUGUAUGGUGGUAAAGGUCUCUAGCUUCUUAUUUUACAAAAUCUCAGUGUAAAUGGAGGGAUGACAGGUGAAUUCUAUUUAUUUGUAUUUUUCAAUGUAUCUUGAAACAUUUUUAAUUGGAAAAAUACUUGGAAACCUAUAUUUAAGUAAAUAUUUUAAAAAGUAAAUAUUCUUAUCGUCUGCAGCAUGAAACAUCUAUGAACUAAUUGGCCUCUUAAUUUAGGGAGAACUGCAUUUGUUAAAAUGAAUUACAUUGACUUGGACUCUUUUCCUUUGCCAUUUUCUAUAAUUGGUUUCCAGUUAGUCUAAAUAUAAUAAACAUGGCAAUUUUAUUUCUUUGGGGGUAUUUGAAAUGCAAAUUUAUUGAAGGAAUACACACAUUGCUUGCGUUACAAGCUUAUAUGAUCAUUGAAAGAACAGCCUCAAGAAACUUUAUUAUAUUGUUUUGUCCACUGAAUGGAAAUUGUUAAGGAUUCAGCAUUGUCACUGCAGCUGCUUGGGUCACUGCUGUGGCUCAGAUUCAAUCCCUGGCCUGGGAAAUUCUGCAUACCACAGGUACAGCCAAAAAAAAACCCUCCAGUUUUCCAAAUAGGUGUUUUGACUAUGAGUUGUUUUGUUUUGCUUUACGAAAAUAAAACAUUGUAUUUAUUGAUCCAUAUUUUGGUGAAAUAGAUUAUCACACAAUAGGUUUUUGUUCAUAUUCUCUAAAACGAUAUAUCUUAUUCCUGAAGUGCUCAAAUGUCUUAUCAAACCCAAAAUGGAACAUUAGCCAACCAAACAAGUCUCCAUAGGCUCAUAAGUGUCACAGAGGGAUGUUAAUAUUGGCAAGAAAAGUACAUGAAAUCUAUCUCUUCUGCCACAAGUGCCUGGAAUUUCCUGGCCUUCCAUUUCAUCAGAAUAUCAGUUUAUCAACAUAGCCCAGCAAUGCCCAAGCAGGCAAGAGCCUUUGGAGUUAAUACUUAUUGUAACAUACACACAAUUCAGGCAAUAUAUAAAUUUAAUGUAUUUUUAUAUAACAGAUAUUUGCAAAUUAAUAUGUUUAUUGAAUUUUCCUUCUUUUUCCCCUCCAUUUUUUUUUUUGACUAAGACUACUUAUGCAACCUUAAGAAAUUUAACUUUUCUGUGCUUUGGUUUCAUGUCUGCAAGAAAGGAAUCAUAUUAUCACCAUUUUAGCGUGAAAAUCAGGUGAGCAUGUUGCUUAGAACAGUACAGAACAUAUAAUAAGUGCUCCAAGAGUAGUAGUUUGGUAUAAUUAAUAGAUAUUAAUGACAAAGCAUUGAAAAAAAAGUAGAGAUGUACUCCACUGUGCUGUGGAUAUAAGGCAAUAAAUCCCAAUCUCUAAAGAGAAAAAAAAAAAAUCAAGUUUGAACAUUCAAAAUGGAGAUUUCCAGGCACCACCCACCAAAGAUUCUGAUUUAUUUCAGUCUGGUAUCAGGCAGAGGAAUCUUCAUUUUUCACAAGUUCCCUGGGUGAUUCUGAAGAGAAGCAAUGCUGCAGGAAGAAGGAUGGAGGACCUUCCAGGAAGAAAGGUCCUGCUCCCAGGUCUUCAUUCUGUACUAACAUUAACUGCUUUCUCCUAACAUUGAGGCUGAGAAAUCUUCUCCCAAAUCUCACUUAUAUUUAUGUUAUGUCAGGAAAAAAAGAAUCAGAAUGGUUCUCCCACUUCAUGUCCCAACCGCCCUAAAUGUCCUUAGUGCUGCUCUGCUGUGCCUUGUUCCUUUGGAUUUCCAUUAGUGUUGGUUCCUUCUGAUGCUAGUGCUGUGGACCACACAUUUAAUCCUAUGAAUUGAUCCCCCAAUCUAAAAGUGCUCAUGGCUCCAUCAGAACUUGGGAUUCACCCCAGCCUCUAUGUUCCUCAUGUUACAUGAUGGGGGGAACCUCUCACUCGCCCACUUUCUCCAUUCAGCAGCCCUCCUGGGAGCUACCUCUCCUGCUGAACAGUGGACCUAAGGACUAUCUUGCUCCCAGGCAGAAGAAGGAUCCAGGUUUUACAGGACCCGAAGCCUAUCCCAUUUAGAGAGCACUCUUAAAAAAUACCAAAAAAGGAGCUCCCACUGUGGCACAACAGGAUUGGCAGCAUCUCUGCAGCACCAGGAUACAGGUUUGAUUCCCCAGCCCAGCACAAUGGGUUAAAGGAUCCAGUGUUCUUGCAGCUGUGGUAUAGGCUGCAGCUAAGCGUAGGUCACAACUGUGGCUCAGAUCUGAACCCUGGCUGGGGAACUCCAUAUACCACAUGCCCCCUCACCAC
rnacentral:lncRNA from 1 species